AAAGUAGCUUGAAAACUGAUUCAGCUGUUUGAGAACCUAUUACUUUCUUUCAGCUUCAGUAGGAUAUGUCAGAAGCCCUGAUGAAGGGCUGAGGGAUCAGGAACCUACAGCUGUGGACAAGUCUGUGAAGCAAUGUUUGAAAUUCUUCCAGCUAUGCUCCCAGAAGGUGUUUUUGCAGACUCGAUAGCCUUUUAAAAAACCCAGAAAGCUGAUUUGCUCCCAUCUUCCCCAGCAACCUGCUAGGAGGAAUGUCACUGUUUUGAAGCUGUAGGUGUGCUGGAAAUUUUGGAGGACUUUGUGACUUCUGUCAUGCCCAUUUUGAGUGUAACUCUUAUGUAUUCUAAAAACUGACAUCAGUGUGACUGAUUUAUAAUACAUGGGUCUGAAUAAAGUUUUUCUCAUAUUUAUACAAAACUUAAAAAAUGGAAUGGUUAUGGGAGCUGAAUAGACUUACAGAAAAUACAUAAAUUUGAAGAUGUGGUUCUGUAGGGCUUAGCUACAGUGAGCAAAGCUCAAUGAGCUUUGGCUUAGACCUUUGUCUGUUAUUAAUCCCACUGAUGUCCAUAUCUCAGGACUGUGCCCUCUGCUUGCUAAAUACUUGUCACAGGCCUUCACAUUCUUAAGUUGGGUACUGUUGUAUCAUUACUCCCUUGCUCAUUUGUGCUCAGAGAAUGAUAAAUUGCUUAUUAGUUCAACUAUUAUUUAAGUUUGUUUUAAAAAAAAAAGGCUUUAUUUUCCAUCUGUAUUAAAUUUAGAUAUGGCCUAAUGGUAUGCUUGUUAUUAAUGAAAACUAAUAUCCAUGGCUAUCAUGUAAAAUGUUAAUGUUGUUUCUAGUUUAUUUUAUUUUACUUGCUGACUUCACUGUAUUACAUUAAUCUGUCUUGAUAAUUUGAUCUUCUAUCUUUUGUCCUAUUCCUGAUAUGUAUGUGUUUUCCUGAUAUAUCCAUUACUAAAACACUAGCUUCCUAAAACAUUGGUUCGUUUCCUACUUAGCAAUAGCAAUUAUGCUAUUAAGAACUUUGAAGAAAGUUCAAGUCGCUUUUGUCUUAAUAUUUCCAACUAUUCUUUUUCUUUAUUUCACCUAGACUCUUUUUUUCCUUUCUAUGGAAAAUUUCAACAGCAUUCCCACAAAAUGUUACCCUGAACAAAUGAAAAAAUGUGUUUAUAUUUCAUAGUUAAACUAAGAAAUAAUAGUAUUGUGCAUGGCAACCCUU